rnacentral:tRNA from 1 species
GCCGGUUGGCAGACCGAUCGAAUGCGCUAGGCUGGCAACCCUAGAUGCUCCCCCAAACGGAGCUACGUCACGGGUUCGAAUCCCGUACCGGCA